rnacentral:rRNA from 1 species
GACGAACGCUGGCGGCGCGCCCAACACAUGCAAGUCGAACGAGCGAGAGAGAGCUUGCUUUCUUGAGCGAGUGGCGAACGGGUGAGUAACGCGUGAGGAACCUGCCUCAAAGAGGGGGACAACAGUUGGAAACGACUGCUAAUACCGCAUAAGCCCACGACCCGGCAUCGGGUUGAGGGAAAAGGAGCAAUCCGCUUUGAGAUGGCCUCGCGUCCGAUUAGCUAGUUGGUGAGGUAACGGCCCACCAAGGCGACGAUCGGUAGCCGGACUGAGAGGUUGAACGGCCACAUUGGGACUGAGACACGGCCCAGACUCCUACGGGAGGCAGCAGUGGGGAAUAUUGCACAAUGGGGGAAACCCUGAUGCAGCGACGCCGCGUGGAGGAAGAAGGUCUUCGGAUUGUAAACUCCUGUUGUUGAGGAAGAUAAUGACGGUACUCAACAAGGAAGUGACGGCUAACUACGUG